rnacentral:rRNA from 1 species
GGGGAAUCUUGCGCAAUGGCCGAAAGGCUGACGCAGCGACGCCGCGUGUGGGAGGACGCCCUUCGGGGUGUAAACCACUGUUGCCCGGGACGAACAUCCUCUUUCGAGAGGACUGACGGUACCGGGUGAGGAAGCACCGGCUAACUCCGUGCCAGCAGCCGCGGUAAUACGGAGGGUGCGAGCGUUGUCCGGAAUCACUGGGCGUAAAGGGCGCGUAGGCGGCGCGGAUAGUCGGCGGGGAAAGCCCGGAGCUCAACUCCGGGUCGGCCGUCGAUACUUCCGGGCUUGAGCACUGUAGAGGCAGAUGGAAUUCCGGGUGUAGCGGUGGAAUGCGUAGAGAUCCGGAAGAACACCGGUGGCGAAGGCGGUCUGCUGGGCAGUUGCUGACGCUGAUGCGCGACAGCGUGGGGAGCAAAC